GGGGAAUAUUGGACAAUGGGCGCAAGCCUGAUCCAGCCAUGCCGCGUGGGUGAAGAAGGCCUUCGGGUUGUAAGGCCCUUUUGUUGGGAAAGAAAAGCAGCCGGCCAAUACCCGGUUGUUCUGACGGUACCCAAAGAAUAAGCACCGGCUAACUUCGUGCCAGCAGCCGCGGUAAUACGAAGGGUGCAAGCGUUACUCGGAAUUACUGGGCGUAAAGCGUGCGUAGGUGGUGGUUUAAGUCCGUUGUGAAAGCCCGGGGCUCAACCUGGGAACUGCAGUGGAUACUGGAUCACUAGAGUGUGGCAGAGGGUAGUGGAAUUCCCGGUGUAGCAGUGAAAUGCGUAGAGAUCGGGAGGAACAUCAGUGGCGAAGGCGACUGCCUGGGCCAACACUGACACUGAGGCACGAAAGCGUGGGGAGCAAAC
rnacentral:rRNA from 1 species